AUGUGGUUUAAUUCGAUGAUACGCGAGGAACCUUACCUGGGCUUAAAUGGGGAGUGACAGCUGUCGAAAGAUGGUUUUCUUCGGACACUCUUCAAGGUGCUGCAUGGUUGUCGUCAGCUCGUGCCGUGAGGUGUCGGGUUAAGUCCCAUAACGAGCGCAACCCUUACCGUUAGUUACCAUCAGGUUAAGCUGGGGACUCUAGCGGGACUGCCACCGUAAGGUGAGAGGAAGGUGGGGAUGACGUCAAAUCAGCACGGCCCUUAUGUCCAGGGCUACACACGUGUUACAAUGGCCAGUACAAAGGGCAGCUACCGGGUGACCGGAUGCUAAUCUCUAAAGCUGGUCUCAGUUCGGAUCGAAGUCUGCAACCCGACUUCGUGAAGUCGGAAUCGCUAGUAAUCGUGAAUCAGAAUGUCACGGUGAAUACGUUCCCGGGCCUU
rnacentral:rRNA from 1 species